rnacentral:ncRNA from 20 species
UUAGAUGGACACACUCAAGGUGCCGCCUGAAGGGAGGGCGGAGAAUUGGGAAGCCGGUCAGAUCCCGGCGCUGCCCCCGCAACGGUGGUGGAGCGAACAGCCACGGCAGAAGGCCACUGGACAGCGCGUCCGGGAAGGCGCCGGGUAGGUCCCCCUGCGGGACAGCUCCAGAGCCCGGAAACCAGCCUUGAAGCAGAAACGAAUC